GGGGAGGAGGGAUGCGGGGCGGGAGUCGCGGGGGCUGAGGCCGCGGCGACUGGACAGUGACCCGAAGGACCCAGGCUGGCAGGAGCGAGAGAGAAGCGCGGGAGGUGGGAACCAACAGAGGCUGACCUUGCUCGGGAGAGCGAGAGGUGCUGAGGUCCUAGAAACACUGUCUUAACCACCCACUUCUGCCGCCGGAGAGUGAAGGCAACCAUGGAUAAUAUGCACACAAAUGGGUGGGGUGCACACACUCCCCAGCUCACACCCCACGGAGGCUCUGAACAGCAGGAGCGCUGCUGCCACCUGGUGGCCACCCGUGGUACUGCAUGCAGCUUCCGGGUCAGCAGGAACCUACCUUGGGCAGGUGGGGCCCCACCGCACUCGAUGCUGCAGUCCAGGUCUGUUUUCUUCACCACGACCAGGCCCGACAGCUGGGGCCUGCUACCAAGGGUGCCCACGCUGCGCUCCCAGCUCUCUGCCUUCUUCUUGGCUUUUGGGGCCUGCAGGUGGUGGUGGUGGGGAAUGACUCAGGGGUCUGUCCCAGAUCCCACCCCUUCUCUGGCCUCCCUGCUCCUAGUACCCAGCUGAGCCAGGAGAUUUACCAUUCCCAUUUCCCCUGCUGUGCUGACCAACUCUCUCCCCUGCUCUAAACUCCUCUGUGGCUCCCCAUUGCCCUAAGCUUGGCACUCAAGGUGUCUGCCCAUUUUCUACGGCACACACCCUGCACUUACACUUCCUAAAUCACACCGUGGCUGCUCACCUCCACGCUUCUACCCACGCCAUUCCCUUCACCUGGAAUGCCCCCUUUGCUUCUAGUUCACUUGGUGAACCCCUACUCAUCCUUCAAUACCCAACGCAAGUAUCUGCUCUCCUGGGAAGCCUUUCCCCGUAGUUCAAGUAAGUGCUGCAUGUCUGUGACCACAGUGCCCUCUACUGCCUUAUUAACUGCCUCCUCAACCACGCGGUGGAGUGCUGUCUUGUUCACUGCUAGGUCUGUAUUAGGUGCUCAACAUGUUCUAAGGAAUGAUGGAAGAUGCAGGAACCCACACUGGGAACUAGUUAGGGGGAAGCAGAAAGAGACUCAGCCCCACCUCCAGCUCUUUUAUCUCACCAGGAGGGACCCCUUGCAUCUGUUUGAUGUUUAAAUAGAGGAACUGGAAACCACUGGGUACAGGAGGCCGUCAGAGCCAGGAGCUGGGGGUGCAGGGGAGCUCACCACAGGGGCCAACGAGGGUGGGUGAGCAAGCAGAUGACAAGGACACAGUCAUCAGACCAGUGGUGUGAAAGAAAGAAGUCAGGGUGGUGUGACAGUGUACAGGGGGGCGGCCACUGCUGCUAAGCUGGUCAGCAGAGGUUUCAUCAGAGAGGUGCCCUUGUGCUGAGGUCAGACGAGGAGAUGCAAGGGA